AGGGAAGGGAACCCCUAAGCCACUUUGGGAGCCACAUCCACCACUUCUCUGCCCCUGACCCAGGCUGGUUCCUAGCCCUUAGGGUCCUACUGCGGACCUCCCGGCCAUAAUUAACGCAGGUGCAGGACCAGAGAGCCCCUUGGUCCCUCCCAACACAUGAGGGAACUUUGUGUGGUGAGGUCAGAUUAACUCGAAGUACCCCACAACUACACGCUAAUGAAACUAGAGGAGGCACAGCCUCAGCUCCGUGCAGGAUGGAUGCACAAGAGCAGAAUCUCCAUGGGACGCCUUUCUGGAGCAUCAGUAUUACUGCAGGAUUUGGAAGCAACAAGUUCAAAUAAUUUUCAACGUUAACACACUGGAAAUUUAAGAGAAGUCUGGAAACUCAUCUACCUUUAAAAACUGUCAGUCAUCUGUGCCUAAGUCAGACUUUCUCCAAGAAAAAAAAAAAAAGAAACUCUAAGGAGACCCUAUUUUUUAUUCUUCUAAGUAGUUAAAAUUAGAAAUCACAGCAAGUCAACAGGAAGCUCUCCUCUGCCAGUCUCCUAAAUCACAAUAUGGCCUUGUCGUGGCUGGAGUAUUUCAAAGGCUCAGUCCCACUCCAGAAUCGGCCCUGUCGCCUCCGCCCGCACUCCAGAGCCGGCUGAGAACCGCAGCGGCGCGGGAUCCACGUGCAGCGUCUCUCCAGGUCAAAGCUACCUAGAUGUCAUCAUACAAAUUACAGGCUAUGACGUCCACCUCAUUCUCUUUCUGGAAGGCUGACCUUAACUGUCCUGCACAUUCCUUACACAGCAUAUUUGCCCUUUUCCUAU
rnacentral:lncRNA from 10 species